GACAGUUCUCGAUGUAACACUCGACCGUCUUCCGGUGUAUACAGCCUGCAGUUUAAAUACAUUCGCAGACGGCGUAAUAUUUGCAAUACAUUAAAAACCCGAAAUCAUUAACAGUAUAGCCAGGCAUUAGUUAGGUUGUUGUUCUUGUUCUGCAUGCUGAGUGAAUGAACUAAUGGAAGGACCGCCGCAGCUACCACCUGAACUUUGGGUUUAUGUGUUUAGCUAUCUUAGCACAGAGGAAAAGCAUACGGUUCGCUCCUGCUGUAGGCACUUGAAAAAGCUUAUCGAUCACCCAUCCCUGUGGAGGGACUACACGGUGGUAAUGUCCGAACUGCGCCGCUACACCUACGGCUUCUGGCACAUGUUAAAUUACCGCAAGCUCACUCGGGUGGCUGUGCGACACCUGCGGCGAAAAGAAUGGCGCCGUCUCGUUAAGUUUCUCCCGUCCCUCACGGCUAUAGUGUUUGUGGAUGGCGGGCGACAGUAUAAAGAGAAAUACAUGGACAACCUUGCCCGAUUUCCUAACCUUCGGGACCUCGGAGUAAGAAACGCGACCUGGGAUGAAGCGUUGCUUGGCCAAAGCCUGACGGAUCACCUUCGAGAGCGACUUACCCACCUUAGCGUGUGCAAUGUGCGGCUGCCCAGCACCGCGGAAUUCAUAAAAACUGUGUCACAGCUGGUCAACCUGCGGUACCUUCUUUUCCACCAACAGAGUGAGGGUUAUGGAUUGGACACGGUGAGGCCUGUGCCCCGCAGCGAUUUUCAUACCAUGAUGCUGAAACUAAAGAAGCUCAACCACCUGUCUUGGGGAAUGAAGGGGGAGCCACCAGAGCCGCUUCCUGACGACUACUUGAGUCCACCGGAUCCAGACCAGCCUGGAGUGUCUUCGUAUGGUGGUCCAGCACUCACCAGCCUGGAGCUUGUGGACUACCCAGAGACCAUCCUUCCUGACAAUGCUCUGAAGAGUCUGACUUCUCUUAGGUCUCUUGCGAUCCGCUAUAGGUACAUCAGAGAAGGUAUUGAGUGUCGACUCAGGUCCUGGCUGAGUCCUCUGCGACAGCUGGAAUCACUCACCAUCAUUGGUGGAAAUUCCCUUGCUACAUAUACAACCACCAUCCCACCCAGUGUGACCAGGCUGACACUGAGAGUAGCUAUAACUCUGAAAGACAUGGACUCCAUUGCACCUAAAGUUCCAGGGCUUGAGCACCUUGACAUAGAGCAGAACCGCUCUAGUGGUAGCCUCUGCAGACGAAUCCCCAUGCUAUUUCCUCAGCUCAAGACUCUUAGGAUACGUGUAACUCACCCCAAAAUCGUGGCCAUUGUCUAGAAUGCACUACUCUACUGGUCCUGCUGAUCUCCGCUCCACUGUACCGCUUUUGGUUUUCCACAGACCAAAUUCUUUCGCCGAGAGCCAGAGAAAGACCUUCUAAGUCUCCACAAACUCCGACACUUGGUGCAGCUUGAGCUACUGGUUGAGCGCUCCUUUAUCCUGAGAGAUUACCUUAAUGGCCACCCCUGGCCCAGCCCCUGUGUGCAGGAGCUUAUCAACGAGCUUCGGGAGCUGUCCGAGAACAGGAUCACAGUCAUCACCACAAUGCGGCAGAGAAACCUUCUACGAGAGUGUGACUGUUUGUGGGAGGGGGACUGAUCUGCUUCAGCUAUGGGAAAGAGAAAAUGGUUUCUUACUUCAUAAAGCACUACAAGAGAGAAGACCAAGUCAAAAAUGUUUAAACAUUACUGGAGUAGUUGCUUUUUUCUGAAGUGAGAUAUUUGGAGUCUAAAUGUAAGCAUUUAUUAACAAUAAAGUGAAACAUGCUAUAAAUUCUUUCAGCCACUGAUUUGAAUUUCAAACUCAAUGCACAAUCACUGUAAUCUACUGUUGCUGGUGAAUCUUCUAUGACUAAUUCUAAAAUCCACAUUACAAGGGGUAAUUCAGCAAAAGUCUUGCAGUAUGUUACAAAAUUAUUGAAUAUUCAAGAAAACAUCCCAAGUGAGAUAUUUAUAUACAUAGUUCAUCUAUGCUUUGAAGCACUCAUUUGAUAGAAAACCAGAACGGUAUUUAUUUGCAAUGUUAUGCUUUAUAUAUACAGUCUGACUAGUUACAUACAUAUAACAUUAACAGUUGGUUGUUCCACAUACAAUGUCUUUUUUGAAAUGACCUGAAAUUGCUACGUUUUCUUUCACUUUUUGAUUACACUUUAUUCCCAUUUAGGUAUAUUUUUAAACUAGACUUAGCCAUUUCUGACAUUUUACUGGAGGCAUUAGAUGAUGGCUUUCAAUUUAAGUUUAAUAAAAGCAACAUGGGUCAUGUAUGCAUGUUUUUAGGUGAAAAUAAUUCACAAUGCCUUUUUAUCAACAAAUAAUUGAACAUUGUGGUCUUUCUCUGAAUUAUACAGUAUGAAAAAGAACAAAAGGUUACCCUUAAUCUUUCAUCUAGGUUUUUAUCUCAGCACAAACAACCUCUCUACCUUACUCCUUGAUGGACCUCUCAUUGUUGCUCACAGCUUGAAAAAAAUCCCACUGUUUAACGUCUUUUCCCUGUUGAUCCUGUCUGCCAAAUUAUGCAGCACACAAUGGACAUGCCAGACAUUUGUGACCAACUUUGGAUUUUACAAGGAAAAAAAA